CACAAGUGGUGGAGCAUGUGGUUUAAUUCGAAGAUACACGAAGAACCUUACCUGGCCUUGACAUCCCAAGAACCCUUAAGAGAUUAGGGGGUGCUAGCUUGCUAGAACUUGGUGACAGGUGCUGCACGGCUGUCGUCAGCUCGCGUCGUGAGAUGUUGGGUUAAGUCCCGCAACGAGCGCAACCCUCGUCGUUAGUUGCUAACAGUUCGGCUGAGCACUCUAACGAGACUGCCUUCGCAAGGAGGAGGAAGGUGAGGACGACGUCAAGUCAUCAUGGCCCUUACGGCCAGGGCUACACACGUGCUACAAUGGGGCGUACAAAGAGCUGCAAUACCGCGAGGUGGAGCCAAUCUCUUAAAGCGUCUCUCAGUUCGGAUUGUUCUCUGCAACUCGAGAACAUGAAGCUGGAAUCACUAGUAAUCGUAGAUCAGCUAUGCUACGGUGAAUACGUUCCCGGGUCUU
rnacentral:rRNA from 1 species